UUAAUUUAAACUUUAUGUUUGAUAUGAAAUUAGAUACAUCUUUGAAUAUGAUUGAUCUUUAAAAAUACAUUUAUGAUACAAAAGAAAUCUUUCUCUUUCCUCUUUUCGUAAUUGUGAAGUUUUGAUAGAGAAAUUUGGCUUAAUACAAAAUCAACAAUAUGUUUUCCUCACUAUAAAAUACUUUUAUCAAUUACACACAAA
rnacentral:lncRNA from 1 species